UACGUAGGGGGCUAGCGUUGUCCGGAAUCAUUGGGCGUAAAGAGCUCGUAGGCGGUUCGAUAAGUCGGGUGUGAAAACUCUGGGCUCAACCCAGAGACGCCACCCGAUACUGUCGUGACUGGAGUCCGGUAGGGGAGUAUGGAAUUUCCGGUGUAGCGGUGAAAUGCGCAGAUAUCGGAAGGAACACCAGUAGCGAAGGCGGUUCUCUGGGCAUUACCUGACGCUGAGGAGCGAAAGUGUGGGGAGCGAACAGG
rnacentral:rRNA from 1 species